GGCGGGCUUGGCACGGCUUGGCUCGGCUCAGCCCAGCCCCGCACCGCCCGGCUCAGCCCCGCACGGCCCGGCCCGGCUCUCCGCAGCCGGCCCCGCAGCCGGCGGUGCCGCGGGUCUGCCCCGGCUCGUCCUCUCCGCUCCCAUUUAUCGUUUUUUUCUCUUAUUUUCCCCCCUCCCCGUUUUCUCUGUGUGUGUGUGUGGUUCCCGGUGGCAGCCCCCGGCCGCCCUGCCCCGGCCGUGCCCGCACCCUGAAGCGGACGGACGGAUGGACGGACGGAUGGCCGGCAUCCCCGACGGAGGGAUGUUUCUGUCUUUGGUUAUCUAGCUGUAUGAGUGUUGUGGAGCCAUCAUAAAGCUAGAUAACCGAAAGUAGAAAUGACUUCCAGACCUGCUCGCCCGGGGGAAGCGGCCGCACCGGGACCGGCGGAGCAGAGACGGCCCGACCCACCACCCGUGGGGCUCCAGACAUGACUGUGAGUUCGUGGAGUGGGAUGCCUUGGGAAGGGCUGGGACGUCUCCACCUGGGCAAGGAGAGAUCCCAGUGAGUGGACUUUUCAAGCCUGUGAGCUCCUUCUUGCAGUUGGCUACCUCCUGCCCAGACUUGCUGCCUGAUGUAUCCAGGUUUCUCCAGGAGAAUCCCAAUCUGCUUCUCCAAUGGCCCCAUCAAGGAGGCAGCUUUGGCUUACGAAUACAGAGGGUUUCUUCAUCACCUCGAACUACGCCGGUCCAGCUGUAGGAGGGCAGCCAAGGGCAACACAGAGAGCCAGAGAAUCAACACACAUUGCUCCUGUAUGUUCUCUUCAGUGCUCUAAAUAACCCACAGUGGGUUCAAAGUGCUUAGGCAUUGAGCCCUGGGCCAGCCACUGUCUCACCUGGGAGAGUACUGUGUGACUGAAGGUUGGAGUGAGCUUUUAGCACCGGGCUUUGCUCAUGGAGCAUAGCUUGGCCCUUGCUGCUCUUCAUUCCUGGCUGUGCAGAGCUGCAGGAGCACAUCCGAUGGUGCUGUGCUCAGGACCCAGAGGACUGUGAGUCUGUGCAGGCCAGGCAGCCCUGCUGCUGUUCUAUUGCACCCUCUCUGUUCCUGUAAGAGAACCAUACUGGCUGUAAUCCUUUCCCAUUUAAAUCCCCACCCCAUGCCCUGUUGAAAAUAAACUCUCCCUGUUGCAAAAGUGA